UUGAAAGGAAAGAAACAAAAGCCUGCAGACCUAGGCCUUCCAUGGAAAGAGUUUGACACCCCUGGUCUAAAGUCUCAUGAGGAGAACACGUCUUGUCCCAUCGCUGCAACUCCGGUAAGGACCAGGGAGAGGGGAAGUUUGAGAAACAUGCGUCCUUUGAAACAAGACAGCGCCAAACCACAGUUGCUUCUUGACACACUGCUCGCUUAACACGGAAGCCAGCCGCACUUAUGUGUCAGAGGAAGCACUGUACAGCUGGUGACCAGAGUCAGCCUGCAGGCACCUGGCCUGCCACAAGGAGUCUCGAGAGUGCGGCUGGCCAAACUCUUGCCUAACCCGGAACAAUUGUGCGCUGCCUCAUGGGUCUCCAAUGUGACACAGCCUGGGAUCAAACCUGGGUCUGUAGUGACGCCUCAAGCACUGCGUUGCAGUGUCUUAAACCACUGCACCACUCGGGAGGCCCUUGUUGGUUGUUUUCUGAGUCAAUUUCAAUUCACCCGAGAAUACAUUUUUUUUUUAGUGUGGUCGAGUGUGUAAAAUUCCAAUGACAUGUACCGUUUUACUUCCCUAGAAGUCAGGGGUCCAAUUCCCACUUCCACCUGUCCCACAUUCACCCCUUCUCUGUCUUCUGUUUCUAAUCGGUCUAAAUAAAGCAAUUCAAAAAUGA